AUUCCAGCUCCAAUAGCGUAUAUUUAAGUUGUUGCAGUUAAAAAGCUCGUAGUUGGAUUUCGGUUGAGAGCGGCCGGUCCGCCGUUUGGUGUGCACUGGCUGGUUUCAGCUUCCUGCAGAGGACGCGCUCUGGGCUUAAUCGUCUGGACGUGGAGUCUGCGUGGUUACUUUGAAAAAAUUAGAGUGUUCAAAGCGGGCUUACGCUUGAAUAUUUCAGCAUGGAAUAACACUAUAGGACUCCUGUCCUAUUUCGUUGGUCUCGGGACGGGAGUAAUGAUUAAGAGGAACAGUUGGGGGCAUUCGUAUUUCGCCGAGAGAGGUGAAAUUCUCAGACCAGCGGAAGACGAACCACAGCGAAAGCAUUUGCCAGGGAUGUUUUCAUCA
rnacentral:rRNA from 1 species